GUCGAAAGGAAUCUGAGUUUGUCCGUUUGUUUGGAGUAAGCACUGAGCUCCUCUGGGUCUUUGAACUGCUCAGACUUGCUGGUGUGGUUCACUGUGUCAAACCAUCCGACAAUUUGAAAAACCUGUUCACCCCGUCGUCUGUGGUGGCGCUGCACCAAGAACUACUGAAGGAAAUGACACAAAAACAUCUGAAGAGGACACUGAGCGCAGCUUCCUUCUUCACAAACUAUAGUCAAAAUAGAGUGGCAUUAGAUUCUAGCAGUUGAAGGAUUUCUCUUUUCUCUUUGGUAAAAAGACCACAAGUUAUUUGUCCUGUUAGCGUUCUACCCUCAUGUUUGUUUAGGCUGUUUUUACCCAGAAUGCACAAUAAAUUAAAAUUUGCUUUGGUGUGGUUUUAAGCAUAUCGAAGCGACUCCAUCAGUAAAAUUGGACUGAUUUUAUAAUGGCCAAUGUAUAUUUCCAUCUUGCUGCCAUGUGACCGUGAUGCAGCAGUAGGCUGCUUAUUGAUUGCUAAAAUUAAUCAUAUUGAGUCACUCAAUAGUAGUUGUAAUCACCAUGUUCAAGCUUACCUUUUAGUGCUUUUACUAAUCUGGGAAAGAUUUUUGAGUUUUCAGUCAGUCACCAGUCACGGAUGAUAGAAAUAAAAUUGUCUAAUUUUGCUCGCCAGUCAGUUUCUCUGUAUGUCUCUUGUGAUUCUCUCAUAGAAAUCGGUGUAGUUUUGG